rnacentral:tRNA from 1 species
GCGUCUGUAGCUCAGCUGGAUAGAGCAAUAGCCUUCUAAGCUAUGGGUCGUAGGUUCGAAUCCUACCAGACGCGCCA